AAUAGAGAAAUAUCAUUCAAGAAGAUGAAAAAACCUCAGAAAUAUCACUCAAACCAUUGUUAAUAUUUACAUCUACUAUAUUAAUUGAGGUAAGUACAGAUUAGGUGUUAAAGUAGAAAAAUUAUCUUGCUUCCACCACUGUAACUGAUGCAUUGUUGUUGGAGAACUUAUCCGAAUUGUUUUUGGGUACCUCUGGCUCUUCCUCAAAUCUGUGAAGAAAAAAUGCCGGUUGUUUGGGUGCAGGUAGAUCUAAAGUUUCAUUUGUUAGCAUAGAAACAAUAUCUGACAUGGUGGGUCUAUUUGUUGCCUGGUCUUGUACGCACAGGAGUCCGAUAUGAAUGCAUCUUAGAACUUCAUUAUGAGGGCAUGAUUCAUCCAAAGUUGGAUCCAUCAACUCUAAGCCUCUGUGUUCAAUCCAUAGCUCCCAUGCAAGUCCUAUAAGGUUUAGUGGAUAUUCAGAACCAUAGUUGCUGUUAUUUUUCUUGCUGCUCGCUAUCUCAAGUAGGAGGACCCCAAAGCUAAACACAUCUAUUUUAAUUGAAACAAUGCCUUUCAAAGCAUAUUCCGGAGCCAUAUAGCCACUGAAGUCAAGUUCAUUAAAACUCUUAGCAUUUCAAGACACAGAACAUAUUUUUAUAUGAUUGAUUGUGGAGCUGAUUGUACUCACUGUGUUCCAACGACUCUUCUUGUUUCUGCUUCUGAUUCAUUCCUCCCAAAUAUUCUAGCCAUGCCAAAAUCU
rnacentral:misc_RNA from 1 species